rnacentral:lncRNA from 1 species
GAUGAAUUGAAUGAGAUGUUUCUUCUUUCUUGUGCUUCAGCAAGGGGUUUUGUAGUGCAACUGUAAGAAUGUGUUUGAUGUAUUCACCUCCUGCUAGUAGCGGUUUGAAGCCGCGAUAAUCGCGGUGGUUCUUCAGGUUUUGGUCCCUGUUCCUUCCGUAUCCUCGGCUCAGGCGCUCAGCAAUUGUCUAAAGAAGUUGAAAGAAUUGUCACUCCCGGAUUCGGCGUGUGUUCUUAUUUGUAAAUUUACAGCUAGUGCUCAUGUAGCGUGAAAAAAAACCAAAGAAAGGAAGAACUCGUAGCAAUGUGACAGUACUACAUUCUGAAAUACCUGAAUAAUUCAUAUGGUUGCACGCGGUUUGUGCAGCCAGAAAGGUGAAGGAACACAUUCAUUUUUCGGCAUUGCCACAGAGUUUCAGAAGUCAAGGAGAUGGCAAUGAUGCCGAUGAAAGCUGUGGCGCCAUUAGAACGGCCGAGAUGGGCGCCGGCAAAUGUAACCGGAAGCAACAACACCUGGAAGGAAGGGGUGGUGGCACCAUGAGAGCCCCCAUCGAUUCUCAUGCUUUCGUUCAGGCAUCCGAUUCGUCGUCGCGGUCGAGUGCGAUCCAGUACUCCAUGAUCAGCUAAAGACGGUGCUGGACCUUGGCCAUCAUCCAUGGAAGCUUCAAGUGAAGAGAGCAUGUGAUGGGCUGAUUGUAGUGGCCGACGCUGCUUUCUAGACUGUCUGUAAAUCGAUUGCAUUGUCAAUGAUGGUCAUAAGGUUGUUCAAGAGAAUGAAGCAGACACGGCGGCGUGGCGAUCUGGCAGUUAAGCGAUGACGUGGAAGCAUUUCAGCGGAUGAGAUCGAUGUCACAAGGAGCAGCAAUGAUCAAUGGACAUGGAUGAGUCAGCUGCGCGAGUAGAGGGGGGUGUCCAAGGACGCCAUGAAAGUGCUUCUUCUCCUCUCCUUUCCUAGUGACUUUUCAUGUUCUGAAUGGUUGCCCAUGCUCAUCAAAGGGAUGUUUGGUGUUUGCCGCCAACAAGCCAUGAGCCCAUGCCAAAAGCCGGCCAUGACCAAGUGGGCAUAUAGGCAUUCCAAAUUGUAAGAGAAGAAUGUUUGAAUUGUAGCCAUGCCAAAACCUGAUAAUUUCUGGUGGUGAUGUGUGAGAGGCUUCAUUUUUGGAUUUUUAUGUUUAUCAAUUUCGUACCAACGCGUGGAUACUAAUAAGCUUUUGUUUCGAGAUUCAUGAUCGUUGUAAAUGAUGUAAGCAUCGGAUGAUGCCAAGACCGAAACUAUUCUAUUUGUAAGAAAAUCUGUCAAAUUAUAGGUAUUGCUUUUUUUGUCGAUAUAUAAUCAAGUGAGAUUUUCACCAUCAGAGACACAUCCAUACCGGUUAUUGGACAACAAAAUCGACACAGAUGCUCGCGGUAUCCGUGCCAGGUGCGCAACCCAUCACAAAUCUUACUAUUACUAAUUGGAGGCUCCUUUUAAAGCCUCUAGGUGAAGGCACCUAGGAUUACUAGGUGGACACUCUAGAAAAAGAGAGAAAUCCUAGAAAUUCUCCCAAAAAAGCAAAACAUCCGACCAUCGAUCAUAGAUUCAAAUUAUCAUAGCCAUUGGAUCUAUUAUAUUUUCUAAAAAAUUACCCACCUAUGUCAUUAUGAAAAUAGCCUAAAGUAACCCCCUAAAUUUAUAUAUAAAUUACCCACCUCUGCCAUUAUAUAAAAUAAAUUAAAGUAACCCCCUAAUAUUCAUCAAAAUUACCCACUUAUGCCAUUAUAAACAAUAUUUAAAAUAACCCCCUAAUUUGCAACUGAAUUGCCUACCACUAUUACUUAAAAAACUUAAAGUAGCCCCUUAAAUUUGCAUCUAUAUUACCCGCACAUGCCAUUAUUAAAAAUAACAUGAGAUAAUUCUACGUUUGAAUCAAAUAACCUUAAUUAAAAAUAUACAAUAAUAUAUGAUUCUAAAUCGUCUAUAUCUUGCACUAUUGAUAUACGAUAUAAUAAUUAAGGUCUAUACGCAUGAUGUGUGUCACCAUUUAUAAGAUAUAAAGUGAUAAGAAUAUAGAUUUCUAUGUUAAAAUUGUAUCUCAAACUUAAGGUUCAUUAAACAAAUUCAAGCGCAUAUCUGCGAUGCAAAGUGAAAACUUAGAUUAUAAAUGUGGAUGAAAAUAUUAUAGAGUAAUUACUAACUAAAAUCUAUCACAAUUGGAUGAAGAUAUUAAAUAUAUAUCUACAUAAGCAUUGUCUGUUCAAAUAUUUAACAAACGAGAGCUAGCUUAUGAUAAUAGUUUUUUAGCAAUGUAGUCUUAUUUUUUUUUCCAUUGGAGGCUCCGCAUUAGUUCCCAUGAGACAAGCCAAAAAAAGGAGACAAAUUCUCAUAAAAAUUAAAAACGUCAAACACCAAUCCUGUAAACUCUAAUAAUCAAAGCCAUUGAUCUAUUAUAUUUUCUAAAAAGUUACCCACCACUAUUAUUGGGAAAAUAUUCAAAAAUGAGCUCUAAACCUAUAUUUCAAUUACCGAGCUUAGCUAUUAUAAAAAAUAAUCUAAAGUAACCCCAUAACCUUCAUCCAAUUUAGUAAUACACAUCAUUAUAAAGCAUAACUUAAAAUAUCAUUCUAAAAUUUUAUCUAUGUUAUCCACGUAUGUCGUUAUUAAAAAUAACCUAAAGUAAACACCUAAAUCUUAAUCUAAUUAUCUUCACGUGCAUCAUACAGAAAUGUCAAAAAGUAAAUUAAUAUAUGAUUUUAAAUUACCUAUUUAUGUCAUUGUUAAUAUAAAAAUACAAAGUUAAAGUAUAUACACAUGAUGAGUACCACCAUUUAGACUAUUUAUACAUGCAUGUGAGGAAUCGAUGAAAAAUAUUGAUUUGUAUGCUAAACAUAAUGUAUGGAGGAUUGGAGAUGUGAUACAAAAUGGAAAAAAUAUGAAUAUGGAUGAAAAAGUGCAUUGAGUAAUUAUUAAUUAAAAAUCAAUCACAAGGACAAAGAUAGGUACAUAUCUAUAUAAGUAUUAUGUUGAAGUAUUGAAUAAUAAGAGAGUAGUAGGUAAACAAUUUUGAUUAUUAGCUAGGAGCUUAAUUUCUAAAUAAUUUUUAAAUACAAUAGCUUCUAAAAACAUUAGCCCGUGUGGGAGCACGGGUUGAUGGACUAGUAGUAUAAAUAGAAAUUUAUAAAAAAAGAACUAUUUUUUUCUAGUAAUGAAGGCUACCCCCCAAAAAAAACACACAACCAUAUCCAAGUUAUUUGUUUAUUUGCUGAAUUUCCUGAUCUCAUCUUGGCAGGUUUAAGUUAUUUUUAUGUAGGUUUAGAAAUCGCUCGUGUAUUUGGAUAUGUGCUUUAAUGGAACCAAAGAUAUGAUCAUGUUUUGUUUAGUAAAUUGCCUAUUUAUGUUUAACAUUUUUUAUGAAAUUUAUACGGUUAUGAUUAUGUCAUGUCUCAUGCUGCCAUAUUUGGUGUUUAGUUUCAUGUAUCAAGGCAUACAAGGAGCUGAAAUACAUUCCAUGUCAAUAUCAAUUCUCAAUUUGCGCACAUAAAAGUUUUAUAAUUUCUAAAUAGCUAUAUGUUGUUUUCUAGAAAAAAAAGUAUAUUACAGCACUAGUGUACAUAUCGUGGUGGCGCAACCUCCAUGCUUUGGCUAUAGCUUUGCCCUAAUUAUCCAUGCAUGCUUUUGUUGAGAGCCGGUACGGAUAAUCCUCAACGUGUACCGGCUCUUUAUGUCUGGGGCGAUAAGCCGAUACAUGUUGGUUUUUCUACAUUAUUCGAGGAGGGGGUAUAAAUGUAUAAAUAUGCCAUUACUCUGAUAUGUAGAUUUUUUUUAUUUUUUUUUUGAAAAGGGGAGAGCUUAUAUUAAAUAACAAACCACGUUUACAAUCAAAUUUCAAAGCUGCUGACGCGCAGGUUGGAACACCUUUAGAAACAAAACCAGAUGUGAGCUCUCUCCUACCAAACUGUCCUAGUUCAUGAGCCAUUCCAUUUGCACUUCGAUCACACUUUAAAACUUUGAGACACUGGAACAUUCUUAGCAUUUUUUUUUCUUCUUUGAUGAUGUUGUACUAUCAUUGAGCGCUUGUACCGCUUGUACCGUGUCGAGGCAAUCUGACUCCGGCCAAAUAGCUAGGUCCCGUGAAAACCGAGCGGGCUCUGUCGUAUGCCUAUUAAGGCUGGAAGACAUUCAUCUUCUUCAACUGAAGAGCAUAAGCGGUCAUUGGACCAACCUGAAAAGACAACUUCACUCAAGUGAUUCCUAGCUAGCAAUAAAGCCUAGCCUAGUGUGUUGUGUGUUAGAAUCAAAGCUAGCAUCCAUAUGGAGUUUUAUCCACUCCGAGGUAGGGGGCGUCCAUGCAUGGCACUUUUUUGGAUCAAGCUAUGGCCAUCCGGAUAGAUUAGAUUUUGUCUCGGAGUGAUGGAUUUUUGCCAUUUAAUGAAGUUGAUGGAGCAGCCACACUUGGCUUCAGGGAAAGAAAGUAGUUUUUGAAAAAAAAAUACUGAUCCAGAGAUGGGGCAGUCACCUUUCCAAAAAAAAAUACUGAUGAUUUUUUUUAUAUUGUACAUGUUCAGAACAAGUAAAAUACAUAAAUCCCCAUUACUCUGAUGCUGCAAUGCCCUUGGCCAUAUCAUUUAACAUAAGAAGUUAAAAUUGCAUAUUUGGAGGUAAAUUAUGAGCUAAUCGAAGGUCCUGUUGAAUUCGCAAGGACUGCGUAUAGCAGACCUGUAGGUGCAAAAAAACAUGUGGCAGGGCUAGGAGACCAUUUGGCAUGCAAUAAUGAACAGAUAUAUUGGCACGUGAAUGCUCAAAUGCCUACCGCCCUGCGACUGCGAGCAUCAGCGGGGGCGGAAUCUUGUCAGCGCUGCCUGCGCAAGCCUGUCCGAAAUAUGCACCAGCGCUCCCUGCCCUGACGACCUAUAGUGACGACAAACCAUGUAACGGUCCUGCACGUAUGUACGUAUGUACAUGUGCCUUGGCGGCGCGCAUGCAUGGGUGCUCUUUUUUCCCUCCGACGAGACAGUGUACGCACAUACUCUACUCUCUAUAGAAAGAAGAGCAGCGAAUUAGCACGGUGGUAGACCAGCGACCAAGGUCUAUUCGUAUUUACAUUUGAAUUUCAUUAAAUUUCGUAAAUAGUGAAUCUGAUUCCAUGCGUGUCCUAUUUCGCUGUCUGACCCUGCAUGAGUACGUGUGUCUGUGUGAUCGAUGAGCAUCUGCCGCUGUCAGGUGUGCCUGCUUCACUGCCUUACUGCAGCGGCCGGGUGCUGGGUGACGUACGUGCGUGAGCGAUACUAGCUGCUGGCGAUACGGGCGUGAAGGCUAGAGAACAAGAGGCAACAGCGCAAGCAAACAGGCGUCGUCAUCUCGUGCAUUGGUGAAAGCUAACCCGACCCGCGUGAAAGUAUUCGGCAGGCAACAGCAGUACUACUGGCAGGUACUAGCACGGGAGUUCACGGAUAGAUUCUCUUUCCGUGACUACGGUACGUAUCAUUCUCUGCAAUUUAUUUCUCCCAGGUGAAUGGUCGAUUCCUUGAUCUGGACGAGUACUCCCGGUCGUUUUAGUUUUUUAAUAUAUCUUUUGUAUGCAUAUCCAGAUUAAAAAUCAAUCUGUAAACUAAAGGGCCGUAGAAGACGAAGAAAUGAAGCGCCGAAGUCUUUAACAUCCGGUAUGUCAAAACGAAGCGGCCGGUCGGCGGCAGCAUGCAAGUGCCAGUGAUGCAUCGAGCAGAGCCCCCGGCCAGAACCAGAAGAGACAACACGAUGCGUACGCACGUAUUCUCCGGCAGGCCACCGUACCGGGCUACGAGCCGUGCAUGUAGCCAGAGCCCCUCUGACGAGAUCAGACGGCUGAGGGACGCGCCACGUCGGGCUCCGGUCCCCAUUUGCCUGGCUAGCUGCCCUCCGACCAGUCACGCAUCAACGACCACCGGAGAGAGGUCUGCCCCCCAAAUACGUACAGGCUGACGAGCAGGCGCUCUAGGUCGCUGCAGCCGGGGCCCACCGCGCAGUCGACCGGUGGCAGGCACUACCCCGAGAUCCUCAAUUCCUCAUCGACCGGCGAGCUGCGCGAGCACGCACUGACAUGCAUCCACGGCGGCUCUCCCAUGGAUGAUGAGGCCAUGGAGAUGGGACGUCCAAUGGACGGAUGGACGGCUGUCCAUCGACGUCGACAAGAGGUUCUUUAUUCCAGCUGAUUGUGGCUGAGCUGACCGGAGCUGAGGGUGGCGCCGCCGCCGCCGGCUUUAAUUUGGCAGCUCGGCUCGCCGCGGCGGGGAGCAUGAAGUGAUACCCUUCACAGGCGGCCGGCUUUAUUUGUUCCUUUCCUUGUGGUUGUGGGGGUGCUAAGGAUUCAAGGAUCGGCAUCGAUGAACGACGGACCAGCUGCUGCUAGCUGUUCAUGAUCGUCGAGUCCGAUCGAUCAGUCGAUGAUCCUGGUACAUCUCGCUAUGCUCAACUCCAACCAGAGACGAUAAUCAGAAGGAAUUGGAGGUAGAACAGAUGAUCGAGAGGUAGAAGAGGGAAGAAUAGGACGAACGGAAUGAGGGAAUGGUUAGCGUUCCGUUAUUUCUCAGGCCGGUCUCAACCGAACGGCAAUGUCUUAUGCUCGCUUACAAGGUUCUCAGCCCACACACGUGCUAGCACCGUACACUGCCCACGACGCACACAAACUAGCCCAGCACAUGGCCCAUGACGUUAGCCACUCUGCUUCUUCUUUCCUAAGCUCAGCAGGGACAUAACGCUGCCCCCUCCUCGAAAUUCGGGUUGCCCCCAACCUGGAGUAUUAGGGUAUCGACGCUUCAAAUCAUUGAUCUCCUCCCAGGCAGCGAGUGAAGCAGGUAAACCCGACCAAUAAUUGAGACACCGAUGAUGUUCCUUGACUCACCAGCCGGAGAUCGAGUAGAGCCACUGGAGUUACCUGAUCAGGUGGACUUGCCGGCAUUGUGGGCGGUUCUUGGCUGACUGUUGCUAAUGAUGGAAUGUACUUUAUGAGCUGAGACACAUGCACAACAUGAUGAAUUCUACGGUCUUUAGGGAGCUCCAACUUAUAAGCUACCUGACCAAUACGUUGCAGCACUUUGAAGGGCCCAUAGAACUUAAAGGACAGCUUCUGAUUAGUUUCGGAAGCCACUAUUGAAGUUUGAAUGUAUAGCUGCAGCUUGAGAUACACCAAAUCAUUAACUUGGAAUUCUCUCUGAGUUCUGUUCUUAUCCGCUUAAGAUUUCAUCCUCUGCUGUGCUCUGAGAAGUUGCUGCUGAAUGAGUUUUGUCAGCAAAUUUCUUUCUGUCAACCAAGCCUCCAAUUUAGGGACUGAGCAUGCAUUCAGAUUGGUAAUGCCAAAGUGUCUUGGGGGAUGACCAUAGAGAACCUCAAAUGGUGUGUGGCCCAAAGCUGAAUGAAAGGAUGUGUUAUACCAAUAUUCUGCCAGUGACAACCAUUUGCUCCACUAUUUUGGACAGAAAUGGACAGAGCAUCUUAAAAAUACUUCAAGACUUUGAUUUAGCCUUUCAGUCUGGCCAUCAGUCUGUGGGUGGUAUGAGGAGCUCAUCAAUAAUUGUGUGUCAGACAUUUUGAAUAACUCUUGCCACACAAUACUAGUGAAGAUUAGAUUCUAUCUCUAUCAGAAAUAAUGGCCUCUAGUAAUCCAUGUAAUUUAUAAAUGUUGCUCAUGUACAGCUGAGCUACUUGUAAGGUAGUGAAAGGGUGAGAUAAUGCCAUGAAAUGUGCAUAUUUUGUGAACUUAUCCACAAUUACCAUUAUAACAUUCAUUCUGUUGGAGGGAGGCAGUCCUUCUAUAAAAUCCAUGCUAACUACAGUCCAAGGUGUGGAAGGCACAGGAAGGAGUUGUAACAGACCUCGUGGCUUCACAUGCUCGGCUUUAGCUUGUUGACAAAUUGAGCACUCCUUAAUGUAAGCUCGAAUUGUGUCCUUCAUUUUUGGCCAUGAAAAUAAAGUUUUGAUUCUGUAAUAAGUUCCAUGAAAUCUAGAGUGACCACCAAUGCCACUGUUGUGUAGAGCUUGCAACACAUGCUGUUGAGCCAACUUGUUAUUUCCAAUCCACAUCCUGCCCUUAUACCUAAUAAUUUCAUCCACAAGAUUGUACCCUCUAGAAUCAGCGCUAGAGACAGCUAACUUAGUCAGUAGUUGUUUAGCACUUGGAUCCUCCUCGUAACCUUGCAAAAGCUUUUCAACCUAUGCUGGUGUGCAAGAGGAAAUAGCCAAUAUUGUCUCUGCUACUGGGCAUCUUGAGAGAGCAUCAGCUGCUACAUUGUUGAUACCCUUUUUGUAGACAAUCUUAAAUUGUAGAUCCAUCAAUUUCAAUAAAGCUUUGUGUUGUAAUUUGGUGUGUAUCCUUUGGUCAGUCAAAUAGAGAAGAAUCUUGUGAUCAAUUCUAAUAGUGAACUCCUUGCCUUGCAAGUAAAGUCUCCAUUUUUUCACUGCCCUGAGAAUUGCCAUGCACUCCUUUUCAUAGGUUGACAUGCCUUAGUUCCUGGGGCAUAGGGGUUUGCUUAAGUAAGCAAUAGGAUGGUCUUCUUGCAUGAGCACAGCACCCAAUCCUUGAUCACUUGCAUCUAUUUCCAGAACAAAGAGUUUGUUGAAAUUCGGUAUGGCUAGAACCGGUGCCUCCACUAAGGUUGUCUUCAACAACUGAAAUGCCUUCUCAGUUGCUGGUGUCCACAGGAAUUGAACACCUUUCUUCAAUAGAAUAGUGAGUGGUCUGCUUAUCAUGCCAUAAUGCCUAAUAAACUUUCUGUAGUAUCCUGUUAGACCCAGGAAACCCCUCAGCUCCUUAAGAUUUUUAGGUGUUGGCCACUGCUGAACUGCCACAAUUUUAGAUAGUUCUAUGAAGACUCCCUCAGCUGAAAUGCAGUGCCCCAAGUAUUUUAUCUGUUGCUUGGUAAAAGAACACUUGGACAUUUUAAUCAAAAACUGAUGUUAUUGAAUAAUAUCCAACACUUGUUUUAGCAAUUUCACAUGUUCACCCAAGGUUGCCGAGUAGAUCAAAAUAUCAUCCAUGAAAACCAACACUCCAACAGUAGCUCAAAAAUUUGGUUCAUUGUAUUCUGAAAUGUUACUGGUGCAUUUGUAAGGUCAAAAGGCAUGACCAAGAACUCAUAAAGGCCACUGUGAGUUCUAAAAGCAGUCUUGUGCUCGUCACCUUUGACAAUUCUAAUUUGGUGGUAUCCAGACCUGAAGUAUAACUUGGAAAACCAUUGAGAUCCAGCCAUCCAAAAGCUCGUCUACUACUGAAAGUGGAUGCUUAUUCUUGAUAGAAAUUGAGUUAAGGUGUCUAUAAUCAACACAAAAUUACCAUGUACCAUCCUUUUUUAUUACUAACAACACAAGAGAUCUAUAAGGGCUAGUUCUUGACCUAAUAGUUCCAUUCCUCAACAUUUCAGUUAGUUGUUUCUCAAUUUCAGACUUUUGUGCAGGUGCAUACCUGUAAUGUCUGACAUUGACUGGCUGGGCUCCAGGGAUUAAGUCAAUAUGAUGAUCAUAUUGUCUUUCAGGAGGUAACGUGGUUGACUCUUUGAAUAGAUGCUUGUACUCAGUUAACAGCUGUUGUAUUUCAGGCUGAACUGCAGCUUGUUCAGGUUUUGUGACUGAAUGGACCAACCCUACUUCCUCUUUCAACUGGGACUUGGAAACCUGAGGAAACAUCUGCACACAAUGGGCGACAGCUUGCCUUCUUAAGAGGCCCUUGAAUUUUCUAGCACUGAUGGCAUUACAUUUUGUCACCUCAGGUUGAACCCCUUUCAGAGUGAUUCUCUUGCCUUUAUAAGUGAAUCUUAUGAUUUUCUUCUUCUAAUGCACCCACAUGGGACUGCAUUCUUCUAACUAAUCCUCUCCAACUAUCAUGUCAUAGCACUUAAGAGGUAAAAUACCAACAUCUGAUGAGAAUAUGUGUUUUUGAGAGACCCACUAUAAAUUAAGAAUUCUCUAGUGCAAGUCAUUGGGCUACCAUCAGCUGCCACAAAAUAAGCUGCUUCACAUUCUUGUGUUGUAUACUUCAAUUGGUUAGCCAAGUUCUCAGUAAUGAAAGACCCCACACUGCCUGAAUCUACAAGGAUCAGCGCCUCCUGAGUGCCUAUUAUGCCUUGCAACUUCAUAGUUCUCUUGAAAGUAACUUGAGAUUUACUGUCUCCAAUUGCCAUGACAACAUCAUUCUUCUGUUCAUCAUCACUUGGACAAGAGUCACAAUCUUUAGUAUGCUUCAGAGUAUCCAAUAAUUCUUCAAUCACGUUUAGAGAUACUUGUGAAGGGCACUUAUGGUUGUGGCCCCAUUUUCUCUCCACCCUUGUAAUAGAGCCCAUUCUUCUUUCUAAAUGCCAUCAGAGAUUUGACCUUUUCAUCAGAGUCACCUUUGUCAGCUUUGGAUUUGCUUGGCGCAGCUUUCUCAGAUCCCCCAAUCUUGUUUUUGUCAGGCACAAAGGAUGGCUUGUAAUUGGAUUUGUGGAAAUCCCUUGCCAUUGCUUUGCCUUGGCUUGCAGCAAUUUCUUCCUCUUGCAACAAGGCUAGGGAAGACGCUACCAACACAUCUUUUGGUUUGUGUAGGGCAAUCGCUGCUCUUAUUUCUUCUUUGAGGCGACCUAGAAAUCAGGUGACAAAAUAUGUGCCGUCAUACGCAGUGUUGUACAACAGAAUGCCAUGUGAUAGUUCCUCAAACUUCUCCAGGUACUUUGAAACAGAACCAGUCUGACGAAGGGCAUCAAGAUGACGAAGCUGCACCUAGUACUAGUCUCUGUCAUACCUGUCUAGAAUAGUAGCACAGAAUGUAUCCCAGUCCAGCACUCUGCCCCUGCGCUCAAAGGUUUGAAGCCAUGCCGCAGCAGUACCCUUGAGAUUGAAUGCCGUGAACCUUGUCUUCAGGGUUGGACUCACCGAAUACACCUCGAAAUACAUUUCACAGCGAUCAUGCCAUAGCCUCGGAUUAUCACCAUCAAAAUGGAAAAACUCGAGUUUGGGCAAGGGGGUUUGUCUGUCCCAAACUCUCGAUUCCUGGUAUGCGUGUCAAAUUGAAGGUGAGCUAGGUCAAGGAACGUACUCGUGACUGGGCGUGGCGGGUGAGAUCCAACGAUCCCACCGCUAGCAUCCUGUGGUGGAGCUAUGUUGAGGUUGAAAGGGUUGACCCAGCUUGGUGGCGGUGGAGGCGGAUGCCGUGGAAUCGGCAGUGGCGUCGACUCAAGUCGAUGUAGGCGAGUCGCCGCUUCCUUCGUCUUGUUCAGCAUGUUCCCAAGGUUUAUCCGCCAUGGAUUGCCAAGCCUCUAGACCGCUAAUCUUGUCCAAAGACUUCUGCAUCAUCAACUCAAAUCCCUCGAACUUCCUCGUGAGAUCCUCAAGAGUGGUCGCCAUUUGCGUCUGGACAUUCGUGGGCUUCCGGGGCGGCGCUAGGUCUCGCAAACUGGAUUUCGCGAAAUUUUUUUGUGGAAUUUGUGGUGGACUAGACCUGGGGGGGGGGGGGCAGGCCGUGCGACCGCCCGGGGCCCAUGAAGUCGGAGGGCCAUGACCAUAUAGAUACUUAGUACAUAUAAUUAUAUUGAUGAAUUUGUUUUAGUCUUUCUAAAUGACCCGCAUAACAAUUGGAGCCUGACUUCCCAAAUUACUCACUUGGCCCGCAUAGUAAUUACUUGCUAGGCCCGCUUAGUGAUCAGAGGCUUAGAGCAAACUGCCAGGCCAAGCUGCCAGGCCUGCCAAAUUGGUGAACGGAGGAUCAGACUCAGACUCCAACGUGGAGGAUCAGGCCUGCCUGUCUAGUCGUGAAUCAUACGUAUACCUGGUCCUGGUCGUAUACGCGCUCGCCGCCGCCGAUCCAAUCAUCGAUUCGUCGCCUCAUCGCCCGUCGGCUCCUGCUCGUUGCCUCGUUGACGGCAGGCAUACCGUAUAUGACCAGGAGUAAGCGAAAGCGAUCCAAUCCUGGUUGCGCCAAUCAUCGACGUCAGGUCUCAGGUUGCGCCGUUGCAAUCGAAGGUGUAGCUUUAAUUGGGGUACGUGACUUUAGCUGAUACGUUUUCAUUGAUUCACUUAGGAUGAACAGGCAAUUGAUGCGAUAUUCGUAUCUAGCUUCUUGGUUUUUGUAAACGAGGGCAGCAGUUGGUUAAUUACCAGCGUAAGCUACCCUGCAUUACCGAGCGCCGCAUCUUGGAUUCUUGGAGUGUGUCAGAGGCGAGCGCUUCUAUCUUUAUUUUCUUUUACGUCAAUUUCGUGAAAAAGCAAUCAUCUAAUUAAUAUUAUUUCUUCGUGUAGUAAUUCCAUCAUUCGUCAAUUGCGUAGAAGGAGCAGCCCGCAGACAACGUUUCGUACUUUCGUUUGACCGUCACCGUAAGCAACACGCCAAUUGAUUAGUAUUUCAAUUUUUUUUCUUAUUUGUUUUUUGUAUGCGCUAUGCUUAUACUGAUUGUGGUAGGAUUAAAAUUUCUAAUUCAAUGUAUUUAUUUGAAUAUGAUAGAUGUUGCCUAAGAAGCAUUUGUCGGGUGCUCAGAAAAGAAAAAAAAGAAAAUAAGAAGAUCAGUUCGUAGAAUCGCAGAGAUGUGCUCUACAUAAGCCCUUGUUUACUUCACCCCCAACUCCCAACUUUGGCACUAUGCAAAAAGAAGAUUCCCCAUCACAUCAAACUUGCGGUACAUGCAUGGAGUACUAAAUGUAGACGAAAUCAAAAACUAAUUGCACAGUUUUGUUGUACUUUGCGAGAUGAAUCUUUUAAGCCUAAUUAGUCAAUAUUUAGACAAUAAUUCAUAAAUACAAACGAAACGCUACAGUGUCGCAUUUAUGGCAGAAUGCCAAUUUUGCCACUCCCAAAUUGGCAAGUAAACAAGGCCUAAGUUUUUUUCAGUUACAAAUAAUGGUGAGAUCAGUGAAGAUCAGGGGCAGGAACAAGUUGCAGAAGUUGAUGCUAAUGAAGGUGCUACAGUAGGGCAUAAUUUAAAUGUUGAAGCUGAUGCCAAUGAUCAUACUCAGGCUCUGGGAGGUGAUACCUUACAACCUUCAGAUGAUACUGAAACUGCAAAUAUUGAUGAACAAGAAGAUUCAGUUUUGACUAUUUUUGAUCCUAGAACAUGGGAAAAUCUUGACAAUAGCAAAAAAGAUAUCUUAAUUGAGAAAGGACCUGUGAGAGAAAUGAAUCUACAAUUCCCUUGUGAUCCUAGUGGUAGACAUUUUUCUUAUGCUUACUAUUUCAGGAAAUUAUCUAAUGGUGAGUUUGUUGACAGAAAGUGGUUAGUUUAUUCUAAGCAUGUGGAUAAGGUUUAUUAUUUUUGCUGCAAGUUGUUCAAAUCAAAUCAGAACAAGUCAUUGUUAGCAUCUGAUGGAAUGAGAGAUUGGAAGCAUCUUAGUGAGAAACUGAAAACACAUGAGAACAGUGUGGAGCAUUUGUCAAACAUGAGUACAUGGAAUGAGGUUCGGCUUAGAUUAAGCAAAAAUGAAACAAUUGAUGAUGAAAUGCAACGGGAAAUUACAAAGGAAAAGGAGCGUUGGAGAUAGGUCCUGGUAAGAAUAGUUUCUGUUGUGAAGUUUCUUGCUAAACAAAAUCUAGCCUUUCGAGGAUCAAAUGAGAAAGUUUAUGAACGUAACAAUGGUAAUUUUCUAGCCACAGUUGAAAUGAUUGAUGAAUUUGAUCUUGUAAUGCAAGAACAUAUUAGGCGCAUUCAAAGUAAUGAAAUUCAUCAUCAUUAUCUUGGCCAUAAUAUUCAGAAUGAGUUAAUUUCUAUUCUUGCUGAUGCUGUGAAAAAUCAUAUCUUAAAGAUUAUCAAAGAUGCCAAGUAUUUCUCUGUUAUCUUGGAUUGUACCCCAGAUGUGAGCCAUGAAGAACAAAUAACAUUAAUUGUGCGUUGUGUUAAUAUGUCAAGUACCAUUCCAAGAGUAGAGGAAUUUUUCUUGGAGUUCUUACAGGUUCAUGACACAUCUGGUUUGGGGCUUUUUAAUGUUUUGUUGGAUGCACUUCGGUCUAUUGAUUUGAACGUUGAUAAUGUGAGAGGUCAAGGUUAUGAUAGUGGUUCAAAUAUGAAGGGAGAACAUCAAGGUGUGAAGACACGUUUGCUUGAAAUUAAUCCAAGAGCAUUAUAUAUGCCGUGUGCAUCUCAUAGUCUGAAUCUCACUCUUUGUGAUAUGGCAAAAGCUUCCAAGACAGCUAUUUCAUUCUUCGGUGUUAUACAACGGAUAUAUUGUUUGUUUGCACGCUCUACUAAAAGGUGGAAAAUUUUGACUGAUAAUGUUGAGAGGUUUACUGUCAAACCCUUAUCUAAUACUCAUUGGGAGAGUCGAAUAAAGAGUGUUCAACCUAUCAGGUAUCAAGCCCCACAAAUAAUAUCAGCAUUGAAGGAAGUGGAAAGAACUGCUACUGAUGAUCCAAAAACAGUAAGUGAUGCUCAAUGAUUAGUAACUGUACUUGAGAAAUUUGAAUUUAUAGUUGGUAUGAUUAUCUGGGAUGAUAUUUUAUCUACUAUCAAUAUUGUGAGCAAAAAGUUACAAUCUAAGAUUGUAUGCUUAGAUGCUACUCUCAAACAAAUUGAGGGGCUCAUCUCAUAUUUUCAGAAGUACAGAGAAGAAGGCUUCAAUGCUAGUAUUGAGACUGCAAAAUCUAUUGCAUCUAGUAUGGACAUAGAGCCAAAAUUUCCUACAAAACAUCAAGGUAAAAGAAAGAAGCAUUUUGAUGAACAAAAUGAUGAAACUGAAGAAUUACAACUUUCAGCUAUAGAUGAGUUCAAAGUUAAUUACUUCCUAGUUAUUGUGGAUGCUGCUAUUUCUUCAUUGACUAGUCGAUUUGAACAGCUAAAGAAAUUUGAAGAAAUAUUUGGUUUCUUAUUCAACUCAGAAAAUCUGAAGUCCUUGGAUGAUAAUGAUCUACGAAAGUGCUGCACUACUUUUGCAAAAUCUUUUUCUCAUGAUAACAAGUCUGAUGUUGACUUGGAUGAUUUUUUCUCUAAAUUAAAAGUGUUGCAAGUAUCUGUGCCAGAGCAACUGAUGUCAGCAUCCGAGAUUCUGCAAUUUGUUAAAGUUGCAGAUUGCUACCCGAAUGUCUCCAUUGCAUAUCGAAUUCUCUUAACUAUUCCAGUGACAGUAGCAUUAGCCGAAAGAAGUUUCUCCAAAUUGAAACUAUUGAGAAAUUAUUUGAGAUCAACUAUGUCACAAGAAAGAUUGAAUGGCUUGGCUAUAUGCAGCAUUGAGAAGGAUAUUUUGGACGGCAUUAAUCUUGAUACCAUUCUUGAAGAUUUUGUAUCAAGAAAUGCUCGAAGAUGGUUUUUUACAAAGAACUGGAGCAUUAUAUUUUUAUUUGAGGUAAUCAUAAUGGUUAUUAUUUUUAGUUUUUUGUUGCACUAUUGUUAUGUUUUAUGAGCUAUAUAUAUUGCAAAGUAGUUUUAUUAUUUGUACCGUAUACUUAAGUUUUCAUAUUAAAAAGUAGUUCAACGGGCCCUUAUCUUCGUCCUUGCUCACGGGCCCUUCAAAUUAUAGCUUAUCUUCGUCCUUGCUCACGGGCCCUUCAAAUUAUAGAGCUGGCCCUGUCUUAUACUCGCUUACCAGGCUCUCGGCUCGCACACCUGCUUGCACCAUACACGGCCCACGGCGCAUACAAACCAGCCCAGCACAUGGCCCAUGACGCUAACCACUAUGCUUCUUCCUUGAGCUCAGCAGGGUCAUAACAGAUCCAUCCAGCGUACGUAUUGCCUGAUCGAUCUGGCCGAUCGAUGCCGUGUCUUCGCUUUGCCCGAGAUCAUCGUACGUUGCUGCAGGGUAAGGUCGCCAUCCUUCUGCAAACAGACUGCGUGUCUUCUUUCUGUUCAUUCAGGAACCUCUGCGCUUCAGACAAAUGUAGUUCCAGUUCAUGGCCUCGGCCACUACUUUUGUGCGCUGGGGGUUCAGAGCAUACCUGGGCUAGCGUGGGCUCCAAGCCUAGCAAAGCAUAAGCCCGGCCCAGAGGAUGAAUGACCCAAAGUACCUUUUCUUUUCUUUUAGUUCUUUGUUUGCGUGGUUCUUUUCUUUUAGUUAGCGCCAUUGGAUAUGUCAUAUUUCUUUUACAAGCACAAUACUCUGUAUUUGUUAAAUCCGGUUCUGCGUGAGAGUAUUUAAUUUCAUCAAUUCUUAUUUUAACGGAAUUCGAGCUUGCCCGCUCUGAAAAAUGUGCAACCACAUGGUCUGCCAUUCCUUCUCAGCUACGCGUGGAGUAUACCGUAUAUUGGGUAGUAACCGGUCGUAUAUCGGUACACUUCAUACGAUGAUACGAGCACUGGCGGAGCCAAGCCCGGCCACCCUGGGCAUCUGCCCGGGCUCAUCACCUGCCAGGGCUCAUCACCUGUCCAAACCAUUAGCUAAUUUAGUGUUCCACUGUUGGUUAGCACUAGUUGUAUACCCGGAGAGUGGAGACGCCCAGACUCAUCGAAGUCGCUGGCUCCGCCACUGGAUACGAGGUUCAUAGAUAUUAUUAUAUAUCUAGACUGCACUAUAUCUUUAUACAUAAUAAUAUACAUGCACCUAUAUCUAUAUGCAUAAUAAUAUAUAUGUACCUAGCUAAAACGAUCUAAUACUCCCUCCGUCCCAAAUUGUAGAUUGUUUUAACAUUUCUAGAUUCAUAGAUUUUGUUAUGCAUGUAGGUAUAUAUUAUGUCUAGGUUUAUAGCAAACAUUAUGAAUCUAGAAAAUACCAAAAUGAAAUACGAUAUUUCGGAAACGGAGGAAGCAGGAAAAAAGGUGCCGUAGCACGAGUACAAGUAUAGAUACUUUGUGGACCCUGGAUAGAAGCACAACAAACUCUACUUGCUCACUACUCCAAGCAAAUCGCUAAGAGACACACACACACGUGGUGACGCGGCACAUGAGGCUGCGGACUCCCGGUCACCCGCUACCCCAUGCAAUGCAAAUGCAUUCCUCCGACGAUCCACAUCCAGGACGAAACAUGCAGCAUCAUCUACCGACAACAAUCAUUAUUACCUUUUUUUCCGAAGGGGCUGGAUCCCAUAUAUUAAAAGAGCCGGGCUCUUACAGCAAACACCCUGGAGGAAAGAAGAUUUACAAACAAGUCCACAUCAUCCAUCCUCCAGAAACGAAACUUUGCGUACAAGACCCUGACAGAAAUCAGAUUUGAAAUUGAGGUCCUUAGAUCUUGACGCAGAACUCCUGCACAUCGCACCGCUUCUGGUUCCGCCGGAGUCGGAGAAGAGGUACGACAGCAAAGAGAAGAACUCCACCGAGACCGUCGAUGAGACCUCCAGCUUGAAGCCGCAAGACAUUCCCCCUCCGGCGCACAUCGGCUGUCAUCGUGUUGAUCUUGAUCUUGGACCGGCGGCACCGAUGAAAUCGGCGACCCAGAAAAGAUCCGAACUGCUAGCACCAGCAGUCCGGAAAGGAGCCCCAAGAAAGGGAAAACCAGUCCCCCUUAUCCAAGACAAAGGAGAACACAAGUAACCUCACAGGAUGAACCACGAAGAACACCUCGUCGGAAUCGCCAUGGAGGACCAAAAUCUUCACUCGGCCACCGGGGAUCCUACCGCCGGAGACGAAGCUAAGGAAACCGAAGCACCACGCAGCUGCCUCGCCGAAGCCGAUGCCGGAUCCACCGCCAUCACCAUCGAAGAAUAGAUGGAUGCACUUUAUUUGCCGGAACAGUGGCAGCACCACCACCGGAACCCUAAGCUCCCUCGCCAACGACGGCGAUGAGCAACCCUAGCCUACUAGACUAUACACCCUAGCAGCUAAAACUACUCCAGCCGUCGAUCCGCCAUUUCCCCCAUCCGCUCCGGCGUCGGAAAGGCCGUCGGAGGGAGGGGAACGGCCAGAUCGACGCCGGAAAUGGCACCGCCCUUUUCGCCUGCUCUUUACUGUAGAAGGGGAAAAGAGAACAAUCAUUAUUACUUAUGUCUUAUAAAUCCAAUUUUGGAUCAUAUACGUGCGUACAAGAUACAAAAUUUUGGAUCAAAACGAUUCUACGUCAAGCUCUUUUCCCUUCAAAAACCUUCACUGAAUUCUUCAGACCAAUGAUGUCGAAAAGCAGGUCGUACCGGACAGAAAAUCACUAAAAAAACGAUUUGCACAGAGACCUCCCAUUUUUUUAACAGGUGAGAUUGUCACCGCACCUACAAAACAGGAACAUAGCCACAGAUGUGCUAAUGUAGCAUCUGAGCCGCCCCUGAGAAGCAUUUGCAUGGAUGGCCCCCCCGGGACGACCCGCCCCUUGAAAAUAUUAUUAUUAUUAUACGUUCCUAGUUUUGAAAUCUACAAUUUUUGAAUUUUUCAAAUGGCUUCGGAUAUAGAUAAGAAGCUCUAUACGAAAGUGGUAACUCUCAGUGAGAUCUAAAUUUAUAAAUAAAUAAGUAUAUGCAUGAGUAUACGAGUAUAUGUAUAUGUGGUCAUAAACAUAUAAGUUUUUCAUUUGAUGAUAAGGAUUGGAAGAAUUAAGUUUAAAGGAUGUACUUUUUGAAUACAAACUUUUUUAUACGAUUUCAGAUGAACACAAACUUUAUGUCAAAGUUGUAGACUUAGAUCAGAUCUAAAACUUUGUAGUUAACAACUUUUUCAUUUGAAAUUGUUUAGUAGUUCAAAAAGUCAUUCUGAGCUCUCUAAAUUUGAAAUCUUGAAUUUUAAAUUUUUUCAAAUAAAGCUCUAUAACAAAGUGGCGGAGCUCGACGAGAUCUAAAAUUAUAGUUGCUAAGUUUUUCAUUUGAGAUUAUUUAGUGCUUACAAACAUACAAAGUUUUUCAUUUGACGCUAAGGAUCAGAAAGAUUAAGUUUAAAUAUUGUAUUUUUUGAAUAUAAAUUUUUCCAUACGAUCUCGAAUGAAUACAAACUUUAUAUCAAAUUUGUACAGCUCGAUGAGAUUCGAAACUUUGUAGCUGACAACUUCUUCGUUCGAGAUCGUUUAGUUGUCUAAAAAUAUGUUGUAAGUUCAGAGAAGAAACACAUUUGCCAUGUCAUCGAUCCACCGCUCUGAAACGGAGAGUUGCUAUUGGCCGAACUCUCCUCCCACCCUUCCUUCUCAACCAAUCAACCUUAUCUCCUCCCUCUCUCUCUUCUCUCCCUCCUUUCCUCUUUCCUAGCCCUACCUCCUCCCUCUCACAUCUCUCCUCUCUACUGGUAGCCUCUCCGGUGCGCCCUCGGGGAGGCCCUAGCGCGGGCGGUGGAGGCGGCCAGCGUGGCACACGGAAGCCGGCACAACCCCCCAGCACUGGCCCCGGCGUCCCUGCGAAGGACCUAGCCCCGGCGGCGGAGGUGGCAGGCACGGCGAGCGGAGUCCGGCACAGACACCUUGACCCCGGUCCCUGCAGCGGAGGCAGUUGGCGCGGUGCGUGGAGGUUGGCACGGCCACCUCGACCCCAGGCCCGGUGGUGGAGGCAGCCUACGUGACUGGCCACUGCCACCUCGGCUCCAGCCACAAGUUAUGCCAAUUUAACAAUUAACUUAGAAACACAAUGUACAUAAGAAAACUGGUUUAAAUAAGUAUUAGUCAAAUUGAUAUUUAACUUUGAUGUUAAAAAUAAGCAACAUGUAAAAACACUGCUGACGCAUAAGUUAAGGUGAAACGAACAAGAAUAGCAAAAACAGACUCUAGAGCGCAGAAGAAAAGCUUAAAUUAUGGCUUAGGAAAAACUAGUCUACAAAGAGAAUAAUUAGGCUGCAGGGACAACAAACUAGUCAAAGCUAAACUGAGCUGGUAUGCAAGGAAACAGACUAACAAGAUUGGUUCUAAAGAGAUAGCUGCCAAAGGUUUGGCCACAAAGAACUAAAAGAACGUACCUGACUCACAAAGAGACAACUAAGAUAGGACAGCUAUAAGCUAGAUAUAUAGGAUUCUAAGUGGAAUAGGAAACAAACAUGAUAAGACUACUAGACAGGGAAAAUGAGCAGUACAAAACUACUCACACAGACACAGAUCUACUAGGCAGAACAGAAACUCUAAGACAAACUAUCUGUCUCACUAAAGCACACAAACGUGCUUGAUAAGGAAAGGCUUGGUUAGCUUUAUGAAAGGAACAUGGUCUGAGCUUGAACUAGGAUUGGAAAGAUCUAAAACUUUACAGAAGAUUAGAUCUACAAAAGAGAUGCUGAGCUAAAGCUGACAAAGGACAGCUAUCGACCGAUUUGCAUUUAUGAGCACAAAAGACUAUACGCUAGGUUUAUUUUAAUUAGAAAAAUAUAUGUAAAGGAUAUUUCAGAAAGAAAAAUACCCUAAAUUGGAAUUAAUGCAAAUUACACUUUAUUUGCAAAAAUCGAGGUAAAAACCUAGGAAAGUUUUAUUCAUAAAUGUUCAUGAAUAAAUUACACCAAUUACACACUUAACUUUAGAAAGGUGAAACAGCUAAUUGAAUUAAAACAUAUGUCGUGUUGCUCUAAACAAACUUUAUUUAGAAAACACAUUCAUAUUGACAUAAGUCAUUUUAUCAAUAAUUAAGAAAAACCGAGCUAUAGCCUAAGCAUAUUUUAAUUAUAAAUAUUGAAGUAUAAAUUAUACCAUUUAAAUAUUUAACUUUAGAAAGGAUAAACUAUAUGAAACAUCUAAACAUAUACUUUAGGAUUAAAGAGGAUCAAAUUUUUAUUGAAAAUAUAUUCAUGUUGGUAUUAAUCAGUUAAUAUUUAUUUAUAAAAGCCACUGUAAAAGCCUAAUCGCUUUUAUUUAGAAAAAUUGAUUCAAAUUAAACAUUAAUCAAAUUAACGUUUAUUAUGAAAAGCGGUGUAUAACAUUAAGUAGCAUUUAAUUAAAGAAGACAUGUUUAUCUGGUAUUAAUCAAAUUAGAUUUGAAUUUAUUUUCAAAAACAUGCAUGAUGGAAAUCAUCACCUCUGACGUGUAGUUUGUGUUAUCAUGAACCUAGCUCAAUUUGAACGGAUCGAAUCAGAGCUAAAAGAAAGGGUUUGUGGAAAAACAAGGUCCUAGGGACUGAGAUGCGAUUAAGUGUAGAUAACAGGGACUCACUCAUGAAACACUUUAAAUGCAUCAGCAUGAAUGCAGCACAUGCAGAACAACCUUAUUUAAUUCAGAAAAACAAAAUUAUUUUCCUAUACUAAAUUUUCUAUCAAGAAAAUAAAUGUUGGGAAAAAUUUCAAAAAUAUGAGAAAAUUUUGCUUUACUUUUCUUUUUAAUCACAUCUUGAAAUUCAAAACUUUCAGGGUGUGACACAAGAUGAGGAGUUUAAGCUUUAUUAUGCAUGGAGAUAGCUUGAAAAGAAUUGAAAUGCAUGAUAUCAAUGUAAACAAAAAUACCAAGUGAGCAUUUAAGCACCAUUUGAAGGAUAAUGCUUGCAUAUCUCUGGGGAUUGAUUUCUUUCAAUAUGAGACUACACACAUGAUAAGCUUGCAAGCAAUGUUAGUCUCAAAAUCAAUAACCAUAAGAUAUCUCCCCCUAAAUUUGUGCAUACAAGUAUUUGAAUUACUUGUGAGAGACAUGCACUAGUCAAUACGUUGGAAAGUAAUCCUAUGAUUUGGACUUGGCACAUAAGAUAUGAAAUAAGCACUAGUACCAUCUUCCUACAACUAACACUACUAGAAAUAUGAGCAUUCGCCCUUUACGUACUAAAGUCGUCUGGUGCUAACGCGCAAAAUUAGUACCGGGUAGAAAAUUUCGAUCCUCGGAGGCCUUUUAGUACCGGGCAAUAACACUGACCGAUAGAUAGUAAAUGGUGACAUUUAGUACCGGUCAGUGUUAUUGCCCAGUACUAAAUGCCUCUCCACGGGUUACUUCAAAAGGAAAGUAUAUCUAACUCAAUCACAUGUGGUGAGAUAGUAAGGAAGGUUCACAUGAGGCUUGAGGUCGCGAGUUCGAAUCCCACGGACCGCACACGCACAUAUUACGUGUGCGGGGACCUCCCGGUUGUUUGUCAAUUUUUUUCUUUAUUUUUUGGAUGCAAAUCCGUUUAGUACCGGUCGGUGUACUAAAGGUCGAUUCUCCAGUAAUAAAUUAUGUAGAUUGCUCAUGGGUUAGAAAGAAACAUAAGCAACCUAUCAUACGAAGGGAAUGAAUUUUGAUUUACGACGAUGCCUCGAAGUUCCACAUAGUCUUAAAAGAAACACUAUCGCCAGUCAUGAAUACAUGACGUUCUGGACAUAAAGUAGUAUCCAUGCCCUCUGCCGCGCGCAUCGCGGAUAAGCUUUUCAAUUUGGUUUUUGGCCUUGUGCUUGUGGAGGCUUUCCCUCCCGUGGACCGUCUCCUUUGCUGAUCCCUUUGCGUGUAGCCAUGGAUAAAUCAUGCGACCAAAGUGCUGCGCGUGCUGUGCAACCGUGGCCUUUUGCUGCGUGUCAUUCUGCCUCUCUUUGUGCUCUGUCCCCUGGCCUGAUCCAGUAUGAUUCACCCGAGUGCGGGCUUGGCUUUCAACACCACCAGGGUAAAAAGAGGCACACCCCUGUCCCCCUGUAUUUUUACUUUCUUGAGAAGGUAAAAGGUGUAGUGUCUUUCCUGUACGUACACGUAGCUUUAAUUUUCAGACAGAUUCAUAGUGUUUUCGUGCUGUAAAAAAUCAGAUUCAGACACUCAAGUAGUGUGUUUACUCUGACUAGCUAGUUUCACGAUGAAUAUACUCAGUUUGUUUUACUCAACGAAAAAAUGUGUGGAUUUCUGUCUCAAUGGAAGGCCUCUUACUUCUUACUCCCUCCGUUCCAAACUACUAUUCAUUUUAGCUUUUCUAGGUACAUAACUUUUGCUACGUAUCUAGACAUACAUAUAUCUAGGUCUAUAGCAAAGACUAUGUAUCUAGAAAAUCCAAAACGAACAAUAUUUUGGGACAAUACACUAUUGGAAAAUGGGACUUUAGUCCCGGUUGGAUAGAGCCAUAGAUCCCGAAAAUCCAACUGGAACUAACUAUUCGAGACAAAAGGGGGUGUCCUUUAUUCCUAGGUCAUCCACCUGGGACUAAAGACCCCCUUUAGUCCCGGUUGGUAUUACCAACCGGGACUAAAAAAGUUUCCAAAAAAAUAAAAGAAGGCCACCCGCGCCGGCCGGCCGUCCGUGCCCGCCCGCAUCCGCCCGCCGUCACCGCCACCUGCCUCUAUCCACCUUCGCCUCCCGCCGGCCACCCGCCGCCGCACGCCCUCGCCCGCCUCCGCCCCGCCGCCUCCGCCCGCGCCUGCCUGUGCCGGCCGCCACUCGCCGAUCACCCACCCGCCUACACCCGUCGCUGCUCGACCGCCCACUGCCCGGCCGCGCCAUUGCCCUACCCUCGCUCCGUGGCCGCUCCUCACUGCCAGUGAGGGGCGAGCAGAGGGGGAAGGGGAGGGGCAGCAGAGAGGGAGGGGGCGGCGGCAGUGGGAGGGGAGGGGGCGGCAACAACGUAGAGAGGGAGGAGAGGAUGAGGAGAGGGAGGCGCCGGUGGAGAGGAUGAGGAGAGGGAGGAGAGGAAGAAGAUAAGGUGGAGAGGAGGAGAGCGCUACCUGGAAGAAGAUAAGGAAGGUGGAGAGAGAGGGGGGGGGGGGCGUGGAAAGCAUCCGUAGUCCCCCUUUAUCUUGGUUGGUAAUUAAAUCUUUUGUCCCAGUUGGAAUUACCAAUUGAGACAAAAGGGGGGGCGUUGGUGCCAUAUUUUUUAGCCGUUACAACCGGAACUAAAGGGGGACUUUAGUCCCGAUUGGUCUUUACAACUGGGACUAAAGCCCCCCCCCUCAGUGACCUUCAGUGCCUCAUUUUUAACCCAGGACUAAAGGCACUUUAGUCCCGGGUCCAAAGUCAACUGGAACAAAAACACCUGGAUGUCUAGUUGUGGUAAUUUGGGACGGAGGGAUCGAGUGGAUUUAUCCAUGCCAUUUUUUUGGGAAAUCUAAUAAAAGAAAUAGACCUUUAUUAAAGAUCGUUCAUGAAAACAAUUGGUUCUUUAAUUUUCAAGCCUUGCUUUAGCUUGCUGUAGGGAUUUGCGAGCAAGGGAUAGCUCCACGCACCUAUUAAGUGAUACAAAUAUUUAUAAAAAACAUAGAUUUGAACAGCAAAUUACACUUUAAAGACACAAUAUUUUCUGAGCCCAUCAUGACGUAAGCUUUUAUAGGUCCACCGCCCACGUUGCCUUCAGUGGAUUUGGACAGUUGCCUCUGAAUUAACUCCCUAGGCUCUCGUCUCCGUGGGGCAAAUUGCUCCACAUUAUACUCGCAUUGGCAUUGGCUUCGUAGAAGAAAUUUAGAUCCCGCAUUGGCAUUCUUCUUCACCCACCACAGUCAGGGCCUAGGUGUUUGUGAUCAUCCAUGUUCUGGGACAAAUUUGCUUGCGCUCGAGUACGUUCUUAAUAAUAUUCUUUAUAGAAAAGGCGAUUGCAAAUUUGACAAAAUGAUACCUAGCGGGGUACACAGCUUGAGGCAUACUAAGCAACCUACAUUUUAGGAUCUACUAGAAGGGCACAUCGAUGCUUAACUUUGUUUACUUUUGCAUGAAUCGAGCACCAGACACAGCUGAUUGACAACCAAUCUGCUCCCCAAUUGCAAGGGCUCUAAGUGGUCCAAGCUGAUAGCUUCUUGAUAUAAUAUAAUAUUGCAUCUAAGAUAAAGGGUUUAAACACAUACUACACAGCUUUGCAUACAAAGUUGUUCUUAGCUACAAGCAGUAGACCUACAAAUUGGUUUCAUCACUCUAUGUGAAUAGAAGGAUAACAAUUGAUGUCAAAUCUGACCACAUAAAAGCUUUCGAAGGACAAAGACUAGUGAGACGUUAGUACAUUAUAUUUAGUAGUAGAUCUUUUGUACUUUUUUAUCUAAAAAGUAUCUUCUGUACUUUUACUUGGCACAUCCCCAAUUUGUUGAUCUAAUCGGAUUGAGGUUGUGCACGAAAAGGGAGCUGCUACCUUUGGUAUGAAAAGGUCAAGCUAUAGUUAAUAAGCAUAUCCGCAAUGUCCAAAGAUGCCUGGUCACUUAUUUCUCAUGUGCCAAUCAGGUCACUUAGUCAAGGAACAAGCUUACAAGCCUAUUUUCACACUCUUACUAUCACGGAAGCCUGAUUUAAUUCUCUUACAUUUUCUAAGGGAAAAAAGUUCUCCCGGCGAUGUGUUAAUCAUAUAGGUUACUUUUUAUAUUUUUAAAAAGAAUACUUCUCGGUUGAAUCCAUUUUCUAUUCUUUUCAUAUAACUUUUUUAUGGCAUUCUUGCUAUUUUUCCAACUAUUUUUCAAGUAAAUGCAACCUUGUUAUUUUAAAAAGAUGAAUUAUCCCUCUUAGAUGUUGCUAAAUUUUAAACCCUAUGUUACUAAAAAAAAA